ACGGUGGCUAAUACCGCAUAACGUCGCAAGACCAAAGAGGGGGACCUUCGGGCCUCUUGCCAUCAGAUGUGCCCAGAUGGGAUUAGCUUGUUGGUGAGGUAACGGCUCACCAAGGCGACGAUCCCUAGCUGGUCUGAGAGGAUGACCAGCCACACUGGAACUGAGACACGGUCCAGACUCCUACGGGAGGCAGCAGUGGGGAAUAUUGCACAAUGGGCGCAAGCCUGAUGCAGCCAUGCCGCGUGUAUGAAGAAGGCCUUCGGGUUGUAAAGUACUUUCAGCGGGGAGGAAGGUGUUGUGGUUAAUAACCGCAGCAAUUGACGUUACCCGCAGAAGAAGCACCGGCUAACUCCGUGCCAGCAGCCGCGGUAAUACGGAGGGUGCAAGCGUUAAUCGGAAUUACUGGGCGUAAAGCGCACGCAGGCGGUCUGUCAAGUCGGAUGUGAAAUCCCCGGGCUCAACCUGGGAACUGCAUUCGAAACUGGCAGGCUUGAGUCUUGUAGAGGGGGGUAGAAUUCCAGGUGUAGCGGUGAAAUGCGUAGAGAUCUGGAGGAAUACCGGUGGCGAAGGCGGCCCCCUGGACAAAGACUGACGCUCAGGUGCGAAAGCGUGGGGAGCAAACAGGAUUAGAUACCCUGGUAGUCCACGCCGUAAACGAUGUCUACUUGGAGGUUGUGCCCUUGAGGCGUGGCUUCCGGAGCUAACGCGUUAAGUAGACCGCCUGGGGAGUACGGCCGCAAGGUUAAAACUCAAAUGAAUUGACGGGGGCCCGCACAAGCGGUGGAGCAUGUGGUUUAAUUCGAUGCAACGCGAAGAACCUUACCUGGUCUUGACAUCCACAGAAGAAUCCAGAGAUGGAUUUGUGCCUUCGGGAACUGUGAGACAGGUGCUGCAUGGCUGUCGUCAGCUCGUGUUGUGAAAUGUUGGGUUAAGUCCCGCAACGAGCGCAACCCUUAUCCUUUGUUGCCAGCGGUUAGGCCGGGAACUCAAAGGAGACUGCCAGUGAUAAACUGGAGGAAGGUGGGGAUGACGUCAAGUCAUCAUGGCCCUUACGACCAGGGCUACACACGUGCUACAAUGGCGCAUACAAAGAGAAGCGACCUCGCGAGAGCAAGCGGACCUCAUAAAGUGCGUCGUAGUCCGGAUUGGAGUCUGCAACUCGACUCCAUGAAGUCGGAAUCGCUAGUAAUCGUGGAUCAGAAUGCCACGGUGAAUACGUUCCCGGGCCUUGUACACACCGCCCGUCACACCAUGGGAGUGGGUUGCAAAAGAAGUAGGUAGCUUAACCUUCGGGAGGGCGCUUACCACUUUGUGAUUCAUGACUGGGGUGAAGUCGUAACAAGGUAACCGUAGGGGAACCUGCGGUUGGAUCACCUCCUUACCUUAAAGAA
rnacentral:rRNA from 1 species